ensembl:snRNA U1 U1 spliceosomal RNA
CUGCUAAGCUGAUGGAAAAAUAGCCAUGACCACAAAGGUGGUCUUCCCAGGGUGAGGCUUAUCCAUGGCACUUCAGAUGGGCUGACCUCUACAAUUUCCCCAAAUUCAGAAAACUCAACCUUAUAAUUUGUGGUAGUGAUGUGUGUGUGUGUGUGU